GCCACUGUGAACGACGUCGUCUUUGACAACUGGUCCAGAAGCAGAAGCAGAAAUUCAGCCCCUCGUUCUGGUCCUCAACACUCGACCAGGGUCAGACACCACCUAGUUGGUUGAAGGAGAACUGCAGGUGACGUUUUUAAAGCUCUCCUCUCUUCGUUGUAAGAGUUACCGCGGUGGGAGGCGGGGCCAGCCGCAGCCGCAGUUCCGGUUCCGGUGUGAGGCUUGAGUCCAAUCAUCACACCUGAGUUUUGUUUGUCCACAAGAUGGAGGAAAAACACGACAGCGUCGUUCGGAGGACUAGCCGGACUUUCCACAGUCUUCGCCGAGGACUCUGCCCAGUCCCGGCUCGGUGUCCUCCAGGCUGCAGGUGGAGGAGGAGUUGUAAACACGAGGAGAGCGACGGAAGGCGUGUUUUAAAGUCUUCCGUCGCGGUUGUGACGGUUGUCACGAGUCAUGCAAGACGACGGUAAUUAACGAGGCAGACACCAGUUCACAGAGAUCCAAACCGACACCUUCGCCUCAUCGUUCCCUGGGACCCAGUUAGCACCUCCUCUUCUGCUCCUCACAACAGGAGGAAUAAAUCAGAGUGACUGAAGUAACGGAGGUCCGUCCUCCCUCCUCACCCCACUGUUACCCCCGCCUGCUGCUGCCCCCUGCCGUCUUCUCCCCCGUCUCCAACAGCAUGGACCUCAAGGACAGUAGACACCGCUCCCUCACCAGCGCCCGCUGCUCCAAAGAGUCCCAGUUCCACACCUCGUC